AACAAGCAGUUAGAGGUACACACACUGGUGCAACAACAGAGCUUGCUAAUGAGUUUCAAUCGAUUUUAAUUAAUUAGAAAUUAACUCCUUUUAAAAAGCUCAAUUUUUUAUGUUGCAUAGUCCGAAAGAAAAUAGUGCACACAUUUUUUUGAUAGAACAAACCUCAUCUGCACAUCAUUUCGUCAAGAUGUUUUUAAAGUAUUUCAUCACGAUCUCUGUGGCUAUUUCAGCUCAGCUCUGCUUUACCUACCUGCCUCAGGUUCAGGGAGAAUUCUUUCCAGGUUGCAUCAAACAUGGAAUUUACUACGGCCAUGGC